rnacentral:lncRNA from 1 species
UCAGCUUACUAGGACCCAAUGGUACAAGAAUAAUCUUUUGUCCAUGAUGAAUAAAAGAGUAUUUGUUGGUAUAACCUUCAUGACUAGUCUUUUUAUCAAAUUUCCAAGGCCUCCCUAACAACAAAUGACUAGCCUCCAUAGGUCCUACAUCAUACAACACCACAUCAUCAUACUUCCCAAUUCUAAGACAAACCUCAACUUGUUUAUUA